rnacentral:rRNA from 1 species
UAUGGCGCACGGGUGAGUAAUGUAUAGUUAAUCUGCCCUAUGCUGGAGGACAACAGUUAGAAAUGACUGCUAAUACUCCAUACUCCUUCUUAACACAAGUUAAGUUGGGAAAGUUUUUUCGGCAUAGGAUGAGACUAUAUUGUAUCAGCUAGUUGGUGAGGUAAUGGCUCACCAAGGCUAUGACGCAUAACUGGUCUGAGAGGAUGAUCAGUCACACUGGAACUGAGACACGGUCCAGACUCCUACGGGAGGCAGCAGUAGGGAAUAUUGCUCAAUGGGGGAAACCCUGAAGCAGCAACGCCGCGUGGAGGAUGACACUUUUCGGAGCGUAAACUCCUUUUCUUAGGGAAGAAAUUUGACGGUACCUAAGGAAUAAGCACCGGCUAACUCCGUGCCAGCAGCCGCGGUAAUACGGAGGGUGCAAGCGUUACUCGGAAUCACUGGGCGUAAAGGACGCGUAGGCGGAUUAUCAAGUCUUUUGUGAAAUCUAAUGGCUCAACCAUUAAACUGCUUGAGAAACUGAUAAUCUAGAGUGAGGGAGAGGCAGAUGGAAUUGGUGGUGUAGGGGUAAAAUCCGUAGAGAUCACCAGGAAUACCCAUUGCGAAGGCGAUCUGCUAGAACUCAACUGACGCUAAUGCGUGAAAGCGUGGGGAGCAAACAGGAUUAGAUACCCUGGUAGUCCACGCCCUAAACGAUGUAUACUAGUUGUUGCUAUGCUAGUCAUGGCAGUAAUGCACCUAACGGAUUAAGUAUACCGCCUGGGGAGUACGGUCGCAAGAUUAAAACUCAAAGGAAUAGACGGGGACCCGCACAAGCGGUGGAGCAUGUGGUUUAAUUCGAAGAUACGCGAAGAACCUUACCUGGGCUUGAUAUCCUAAGAACCUCUUAGAGAUAAGAGGGUGCUAGCUUGCUAGAACUUAGAGACAGGUGCUGCACGGCUGUCGUCAGCUCGUGUCGUGAGAUGUUCGGUUAAGUCCGGCAACGAGCGCAACCCACGUAUUUAGUUGCUAACAGUUUGGCUGAGCACUCUAAAUAUACUGCCUUCGUAAGGAGGAGGAAGGUGUGGACGACGUCAAGUCAUCAUGGCCCUUAUGCC